GCAGGGCCGCCACGUGUUCCGUGGUGUCAGAGUUGCUGUGCUCACUCGCUCCCACCCGCUGGCCGAACCCCAAACCCGCAGAAUGACGCUGAUCUGCGGCGCCAGUUCCCGCCCUGGGGCGCUGACGAAGCUGCCGGCAACCGGACUUCAGGAAUCAUUCCCAGCAUAGAAAUUGGGUGUUGGACGGAAGAGGCCAAACUCAGGCACCAGGGUCGGGGGUUUUAUGAGAAGAUGAGAGCUCUCUGGCCCCCGGCGGUUGGGUGAAGGCAUUGCAAUCUUUGCUAAUCCUCUGCGGCGAGCCUAGAGCAUAUUCGGAGUGACGUCAGUUUGGGGGAUCCAGCAGCUGCUUCGUGGAACAGUGCAGGUCUAGAAGUUACUGGAAGAGCAGUGCCACCCUUACUGGAAUUGUGACACCUGAGCCCUUUCACUUCCUGGACAGAGGCCGAGACGAGUUCCACUUGGAGAGAAUCCUCCUGUUGGUCUUUGCUGGGGAUCUCACACACACACUGAUGGAGAAGCGAUCCUUCAUCAUGUUGAAGUACCUACAGCAGUCAAAGUGUUACAUCUCUGCUUUGGAGGGAACGUCAAGAAAAGCGUGGUCCCUGGACAUCCGGGGUUUGGGGUGCAGAGAGGUAGACAGCAGGAAGUGCCGGACCCCAGCAAGACGAGUUUCCAGUGGGACCUGGCAGGAUGUAACCCUGUGAGGAAGUGAAGGCCAUUUCCAGCUGAUGAAACAUGACAGAAGGCGGGAAGCAUGAAAGUGAGUUCACUGGAGGAGGUGUGUGCUUGCCGAGUGAACACCUGCUGAGUUUGUUUCUGCCUGGUUCUCUGUGCCUGAAAUAUAGUGGUUGUGUUUUAGCAUUUUC